UGCACUCACUAUUGUAAGUCGCUUUGGAUAAGAGCAUCUGCUAAAUGACUAAAA
rfam:Salmo salar isolate Sally breed double haploid chromosome ssa09, whole genome shotgun sequence.